AUAUUAAGUUUGAUUUUGGUUUUUGAUGUAUUAAGAUAGUAUUACCUAUUUUUGGUUUAUUUAGUGUGUUAUUUUUUUUACACUGGUAGUUUGUUGAUUGUUUAAAAAGUGUUCCAGAAUAAUCGGCUAUACAUUUUGAAUUUUAUACUCUAUUUUUUGUUAUUUUUCAUUUUUGUUUUAUUUUUUAUUUUAUUUUUUUGUAAAAUAUUAUGAUUUUUUUUGUUUAUUUGAAAAGUUUAAAAUUUGUUAAUUGAACUGGAUUAGUACCCAGGUAAUCAAAGUUUAUUAAUGCGGGAGUAAAGUUGUAUUUAAACCGAAAAAAUAUUGGCUGACCUUAAAUUUUUCUUUGGAACAUGUAAAUUUUGGAGAGUCCUCCUUAUUUUUUUUUUUUUGGCUCAUGUAUGAUUGUUUGUUUUUUAUAUUUUAUGUGAUUUUUUUUUAUUUAUAAAUAUAAUGCAGAUAGAUACUUGGUUUAUAAAAAAAGUUUUUAUGUGUUACUAUUAUUAAUUUUAACGGAUUAUUUUUUAGUUUAUUUAUGAAGUUGGAAAAGAAAGUAAUUUUUUUUUUAUGUAAAAAUGAAUUAAAUAAGUAAGGUGGUACAAACCAUCCGUCAAUGGCCUAAAGGGGCGUAAGUUGUAGUAUGGUAGAAGUAAGGAAACUUGUUUCUAAUUUUUAA
rnacentral:ncRNA from 1 species